GGGGGGGGGGGGGGGCACGGCUGAGGCUGAGAGAUGAUGGGAGAUGGGGGGAGGGGAGUUUCAGACAAAGGGAACAGCGGAUGCUCAUGGAGGAACAGAGAGACAUCAGGGAGACAGGCCGGGCAGAUUACUUAGGGCCUCGUAGGCCAGGUGAGGAGCUUGAUGUCUCUUCUAAGUGUGAAGGGAAGUCACUGGAGGGUUUAAGGUAGAGGCACAGUAGUCUGGUCCUCUUAGCGCGUCUGAUGAAUGAAUGAAUGAAUGAAUGAAUGAGGGAAGGAGAGAAUCAGUGAUUGUGAGCGAACGGGUCCAGUCAUACAGAUGUAGCAUUAUUGUGACACCAUGAUGAACACCAUUGUGACUGAAUCUACACACCUCCUUGAUUAUUUUGCAGAAUACACUCCUAGAAGUGGCCUAAUUAGUAUUCUUGGGACAUGAGAUGCUUGUGGUGUCACAAAGAGAGUGGGAGAGCAUGGGGAGCAGGACACAGCUGUCAGAGGCCGCCCAGGGCGACAAGGUGGUGACCCUUAGACAGAGCCCCUCCCCUUGGCCCUGGGCAGGCAGCUCUUCACUCUUCCCCGGGGCCCAGGACAAGGCUGCUCCUCACGGCCUCAUCGCCAAGUGCCAGCUCUGUCGUAGUGUCAAAUGGCCAAAUGUGUCCCUGAGAGCCAGCGCUCUGCCUUGGGCCUCUUCCAUCACCAUCCUGUGCACUAUGUCAUCCCCGAGUGACCCUGUGGGUCUCUCCUGUCCUCCUUCCAAGCCCUUGUCACCAAGGCCUUGGAGCUCCACAAUAGAGGAAAAGCCGGACAGCAGCUUGAGGUGGGGGCCCUCCUCUGUGGAAAUGGGGUCUUCUCCCCUGAGGGCCACACCUGUCAGUGACCAGCUCUCCACGGACACUGACCGCCUGUCUGACGGUGGCCAGGCCUCACGCCACUUUGGGGACUGCAGAGGGGGAGGAGAGUCUCAUCUGCUCUGAAUGUGGCUCACUGACAGCACGGCACACGCUCUGAUCAAAUAUUUAGGUCCUCAGGAGCCCUGCCUGCAAUAUUAAUGUGGAAGGCCGGAAGCCUUGGCUGCAGCCACGCGAGGGCGGGGGCUUCGGUGAUGAACAAGGCCCUCGUCCGGAGAAACGUGAGCAGCUCUGGCCCACGAACAGGACAAAGACACCACAAGAAAACAUCUGAGACGAGCCCCACACACAAACUCACACACUUGGGGCCAUUCCACGUCGGACGUCAACACGGCGUUGGUGACAAGCGUCCAGAGACUUUUCACAAGUCUAUACAACUUUAACCCUGCAGUUUCCUUUCUUGAAAUCUGGAUGAAGGAAUUCAGAAAUGUGGGAAAUGCUUAAUAUUUAAGAAUAUUCAUUUGUCAUUUAAAACAAUAAAAAGAAAUAUCCAAAAUUCCA
rnacentral:lncRNA from 1 species